CGGAUGAGCCGGGUGAUCGCCGGUCCCAAAGCAUCGGGACGGGAGGAAAGUCCGGACUCCGGCCGUGGUGAGCUCGCAAGAGUCGGCCACGGCAGGGCGACGCGCCUGGUAACGCCAGGGGGUUGUCGUGAGACGCCCUUCGAAGCUGCCACUGGCAGCUUCUUAGGAUCUUGCGACGGCUACGGAAAGUGCCACAGAAAAUAAACCGCCGGUGAUGCUUGCACCUCGGCGGCAGGCUUUCGGAAAAACCGGGAGCCCGCCUCUUUCGGUCGAGCGCAUUUGGCAAGGGUGAAAAGGUGGGGUAAGAGCCCACCGCCCGGGUGGCGACAUCCGGGGCACGGAAAACCCCGCGUGGAGCAAGGCCAAAUAGGAGGGGAGGGCCGGCCCGGCCCGUAUGCGUUCCGCUCGCAAGAGCGGGCGCUCUGACCCUCGGGUAGGCUGCUGGAGUCCCGGAGCGAUCCGGGACCUAGAGGAAUGAUCGCCGCGCUGCGUGCGCCUCAAGCACUCCGGUGCAAAUAGGAGUGCCGGUCGCGCAGCGGACAGAAUCCGGCUUACAGGCUCAUCCGCCAA
rnacentral:RNase_P_RNA from 1 species